CGCGGUAAUUUGACCGUGCGAAGGUAGCAUAGUAAGUAGUCUUUUAAUUGAAGACUUGAAUGAAUGGUUGGAUGAGAGGUAAGCUGUCUUUUAACAAUUUAUAAAAUUUAACUUUUAAGUGAAAAGGCUUAAAUUAAUUAAGGGGACGAUAAGACCCUAUAAAACUUUACACGAAAUGCUGAAGUUUAUAGAUUGUGUGUGAUAUAAUUUUAGUAUUUUUUGUUUUGUUGGGGCGACAUGGAUAAAUAGUAACUGUCUAUUAAAAUUUAAUAAUAAUGAUUAGUUUGUGAUCCUUUAUUAGGGAUUAGAAGAAUAAGUUACUUUAGGGAUAACAGCGUGAUUUUUCCUGAGAGUUCUUAUCGACGGAAGUAGUUGCGACCUCGAUGUUGAAUUAA
rnacentral:rRNA from 1 species